rnacentral:lncRNA from 1 species
CCUCGAGAAAAUGUAUCACUCUGUGCAUCGGAUCCUACAUCUUUAAAAUGAGAAUAGACAUCCAUCCAGAAUAGUAAUAAUUUAUUAUAUUCUCAUUAGAUUAAUGAUAUUGCUUAAAUAUAUCUAAAAAUAAGGUGAUGGAGGCUGACCCAGUGGUGGAGUGGAGUUUGCACACUCUGCUUUAUCAUCAGCAGUUGGGGGAAAUUUUGCUUUAAAUACAGUUUUAAAUAACAGAAAUAAGGUAGCCCACUACAGCCAGAGAUAGGUAUCAAUGAUUAGUAAAAGAAUCACCAAAUAAAGUUCCUACUGUUUUACUGUGGCUUACAAAUAUAUCUGUACCACAGAUUUGGGGCCUGAAAUACCAUUGUGAAGAUAACCAUGAAUUAGACUGACAGUUUCAGUUCCCCUCAGAUAUCAUAGCAGUUACGUAAAACUGUCAGUAACCAGAGUUUAAAAUAUAGCAGCAGGGCAGGCAGAGAAGGAAAGAGAAGUAACAUUUAUUCAGUACCUACGUUGUAAGUGACACAUUUUGCUACUUGCUUUACAUGCCAUCUCAUUUAGUCUUCCCCAAAAUUCAUAUGAACUCGAAAUCUUUAUUUCUCUUAUAGGCAAGGGAAGAGAGAGAGAGAGAAUUUGUCCAGCAUGGCACUUGGUAGAACCAGGACUAAAAAUCAGACCUAUUGACUCCAAGAAUCAUGAUCCUUCUCUCAUAUCAAAGUCCUUAUAAAUGGCACACAGAUUCCAUUCUACGAACUACAUAGAAAUGUGAAAAGUUUGAGUACCGCCUCAAGGUUUAUAAAUCACGGUGACCACAAACGAAAUGUCAAAUGUACCACUCUAAUCAUGGUCUGUACCUAAAGGAGAAAAAUGAAAUCGGUUAUUGCGCAGGUAAGAUCAAAGGGAAGCAUUUGGCAAGCCUAGCGAUGGGUCCUUGCAAAGAUGAUGAGCAGCACCAAGGAGGAUAGACUGUCAACCAGGAUUUGCUGGGGUAAGACUCAGUUCUUGCUCUCUCUUCCUAAAGCACAGAUGGCAGGAACCUGAGUUCCAUGGUGCUUUCCUUUAGUCUAUCAAUUCCCUAAGGGCCAUUUGUCUGUGAGUCCUCAGGGCCUAGCCCUCCAUCUGAGAGGUGGCAGUACAUAGUGGUCAGGAGCGGGAACCGUGGC